rnacentral:rRNA from 1 species
CCUACGGGAGGCAGCAGUGAGGAAUAUUGGUCAAUGGGCUUACGCCUGAACCAGCCAAGUCGCGUGAGGGAAGACUGCCCUAUGGGUUGUAAACCUCUUUUGUCAGGGCGCAAUUGAGUCCACGUGUGGUCUUAGCGAGAGUACCUGAAGAAAAAGCAUCGGCUAACUCCGUGCCAGCAGCCGCGGUAAUACGGGGGAUGCGAGCGUUAUCCGGAUUUAUUGGGUUUAAAGGGUGCGUAGGCGGAAUAUCAAGUCAGCGGUAAAAAUUCGGGGCUCAACCCCGUCGUGCCGUUGAAACUGAUGUUCUUGAGUGGGCGAGAAGUAGGCGGAAUGCGUGGUGUAGCGGUGAAAUGCAUAGAUAUCACGCAGAACUCCGAUUGCGAAGGCAGCAUACCGGCGCCCAACUGACGCUGAAGCACGAAAGCGUGGGUAUCGAACAGGAUUAGAUACCCGUGUAGUC